GCCAGCCACAGACCUUGGACGGCGGCGGAGCUCCAGGCCCAGGCUCCAACUGACCUCCCUCCUGCUCCAGCUGGCCACACUAACAAGAGCCAGGGCACAAGAUUCACCCAGAUCUGGAAACUGAGGCCCAGUAACAUGGAGUCGUUCUGGGGAUCACUGCAGUGCAGCCCAGACUUGGCCCAACUAUUCUGACCCCUAAGGCUCGCCUUCUCCACCAGGACAGCAUUGAGGACCAGCUACCUCCCCUUGGAUGGCUUAGGUGAGAGCUCCCAGGGGGGCCAAGC
rnacentral:lncRNA from 1 species